rnacentral:rRNA from 1 species
UACAGAGGUCUCGAGCGUUGUUCGGAUUCAUUGGGCGUAAAGGGUGCGUAGGUGGCUAGGUAAGUCGGAUGUGAAAUCCCGGGGCUCAACCCCGGAACUGCAUUCGAUACUGCCUGGCUAGAGUACUGGAGAGGAGAUUGGAAUUUACGGUGUAGCAGUGAAAUGCGUAGAUAUCGUAAGGAAGACCAGUGGCGAAGGCGGAUCUCUGGACAGUUACUGACACUGAGGCACGAAAGCGUGGGGAGCAAACAGG